UUGACCAUAUUUCAUCCUUUUUGCAGAGAUUUGCUCCUCCGGUUGAUGAUACUUCAUCUACUCGUAGAGAUGAUGAUGCCGACCCUUGAUACAUAUCUUGCCGAAACUUCCUUUUGUAAAGAUGUACUAGGGCCUAACAUCUUUUGUUGGUUAUGCCCUGUAUCAAAGUUCAAAGGCUCUGGUCUCCGAUUUCCCACUGCAUUUGACCUUCCAAUAUCUACAACACUAACUUGACGUAUCAGGUGGCAAAGAUAAGAGUAAUUUGUCUAUAGAAGAUGGAAACCAUGUAAAUUUUUGUGGUUGAGCCUCGCUUGGGAGUGGCUGAUUGUAACAAUCUUUUCCCAUUGCAAAGACUGCAACGCUGAUGAGCGUUAUUAAUAGGAACUGGCAAUUGACAGGUUACUGGUUUGACCGGGGGAAAAUACAUGGUAGAUUGUGUACUUAGGAAUUUGACUUGUAUGUUUUUAGAAUGUUUUUGAAGUACAAUGUAAUCAAAUAUUAUAAUAUGAAUGUAAUCAAAGUUCUUGUUUGUGACGUGUAUUUUGUUAUAUAUGUGAUUUAGUGUAUUUGUUUUGUUAGAAUUUAAUGUGUACAGGGUAUUAAAAAUUACUUUUAUAUAUUUUUUUUAAAAAAAAAUUCAUUUGCCGACGCUUUUAAGCGUCGGCAAAAGCAAGUUUGCCGACGCUUAUAAGCGUCGGCUAACGCCAAACCUUAGCCGACGCUUUUAAGCGUCGCAAAAAGCGCGGCACAACACUUGGAAAACUGGGAAGUUGGCACGCCUUUGAAGUUUGCCGACGCUUAUAAGCGUCGGCUUACGGCAAACCUACGCCGACGCUUUUAAGCGUCGGAAAAAGCGCGGCACAACACUGGGAAAACUGGCACGCCUUUGAAGUUUGCCGACGCUUGGAAGCGUCGUCUAACGCCAUAGCUAACGACGCUUAAACGCGUCGGCAUAGGCCACCUUCGCCGACGCUUAAAAGCGUCGGAAUAGACCGCCGACGCUUUCUUCACGCGUCGGCCUAAACCGGCCCCACGCCCACCUGCCCGACGUCGGAGCCACGCUUUGGGGAGGGUGGGUGAGAACUUCGCCGACGCUUAAAAGCGUCGGUAUAGACCAAAUAUAGCGUCGGGAGAUAUCAGUUAUUUU